rnacentral:snRNA from 1 species
AAACUCUGGUUUCUCUUCAGAUCGCAUACAUUUUUUGCCUUUUACUAAAGAUUUUCGUGGAGAGGAACAUUUAUGAGGACAUUGUUUUCACUAAGGUUGCGUCUCCACUUG